rnacentral:rRNA from 1 species
UACGAAGGGGGCUAGCGUUGUUCGGAAUUACUGGGCGUAAAGCGCGCGCAGGCGGUCCUUCAAGUCAGAGGUGAAAGCCCAGAGCUCAACUCUGGAACGGCCUUUGAGACUAGAGGACUUGGGUACGGGAGAGGUGAGUGGAAUUCCGAGUGUAGAGGUGAAAUUCGUAGAUAUUCGGAAGAACACCAGAGGCGAAGGCGGCUCACUGGCCCGUUACCGACGCUCAGGCGCGACAGCGUGGGGAGCAAACAGG